rnacentral:rRNA from 1 species
GGUUAAGCGACUAAGCGUACACGGUGGAUGCCCUGGCAGUCAGAGGCGAUGAAGGACGUGCUAAUCUGCGAUAAGCGCCGGUAAGGUGAUAUGAACCGUUAUAACCGGCGAUUUCCGAAUGGGGAAACCCAGUGUGACUCGUCACACUAUCAUUAACUGAAUCCAUAGGUUAAUGAGGCGAACCGGGGGAACUGAAACAUCUAAGUACCCCGAGGAAAAGAAAUCAACCGAGAUUCCCCCAGUAGCGGCGAGCGAACGGGGAGGAGCCCAGAGCCUGAAUCAGCAUGUGUGUUAGUGGAAGCGUCUGGAAAGGCGCGCGAUACAGGGUGACAGCCCCGUACACAAAAGCGCAUAUGCUGUGAGCUCGAUGAGUAGGGCGGGACACGUGGUAUCCUGUCUGAAUAUGGGGGGACCAUCCUCCAAGGCUAAAUACUCCUGACUGACCGAUAGUGAACCAGUACCGUGAGGGAAAGGCGAAAAGAACCCCGGCGAGGGGAGUGAAAAAGAACCUGAAACCGUGUACGUACAAGCAGUGGGAGCACCCUUUUGGGUGUGACUGCGUACCUUUUGUAUAAUGGGUCAGCGACUUAUAUUCUGUAGCAAGGUUAACCGAAUAGGGGAGCCGGAGGGAAACCGAGUCUUAAU